GAUGAACGCUGGCGGCGUGCCUAAUACAUGCAAGUCGAGCGAACAGACGAGGAGCUUGCUCCUCUGACGUUAGCGGCGGACGGGUGAGUAACACGUGGAUAACCUACCUAUAAGACUGGGAUAACUUCGGGAAACCGGCGCUAAUACCGGAUAAUAUAUUGAACCGCAUGGUUCAAUAGUGAAAGACGGUUUUGCUGUCACUUAUAGAUGGAUCCGCGCCGCAUUAGCUAGUUGGUAAGGUAACGGCUUACCAAGGCAACGAUGCGUAGCCGACCUGAGAGGGUGAUCGGCCACACGGGAACUGAGACACGGUCCAGACUCCUACGGGAGGCAGCAGUAGGGAAUCGUCCGCAAUGGGCGAAAGCUUGACGGAGCAACGCCGCGUGAGUGAUGAAGGUCUUCGGAUCGGAAAACUCUGUUAUUAGGGAAGAACAAAUGUGUAAGUAACUAUGCACGUCUUGACGGUACCUAAUCAGAAAGCCACGGCUAACUACGUG
rnacentral:rRNA from 1 species